rnacentral:rRNA from 1 species
UAAGGAAUAUUGCUCAAUGGGAGAAAUCCUGAAGCAGCAACGCCGCGUGGAGGAUGAAGGGUCUAUGACUUGUAAACUCCUGUAAAGAAGGAAAAAAUUCCCAUUUGAUGGGAGAUGAUGGUACUUCUGGAGUAAGCCCCGGCUAACUACGUGCCAGCAGCCGCGGUAAUACGUAGGGGGCAAGCGUUGUCCGGAUUUACUGGGUGUAAAGGGUGCUCAGGCGGAUUUGUAAGUCAGAGGUGAAAUCUUACAGCUUAACUGUGAAACUGCCUUUGAUACUGCAAGACUAGAGUAUGGAAGAGAGUGAUGGAAUAUCUGGUGUAGCAGUGAAAUGCGUAGAUAUCAGAUAGAACACCAAUGGCGAAGGCAGUCACUUGGUCCAUUACUGACGCUAAAGCACGAAAGCGUGGGUAGCAAAC